GGGGAAUAUUGCGCAAUGGGGGAAACCCUGACGCAGCAAUACCGCGUGAGUGAAGAAGGUUUUCGGAUCGUAAAGCUCUGUUAUUGGGGAAGAAAAAAAGACGGUACCCAAGAAGAAAGUCCCGGCUAACUACGUGCCAGCAGCCGCGGUAAUACGUAGGGGACAAGCGUUGUCCGGAUUUACUGGGCGUAAAGGGCACGCAGGCGGUUUUUUAAGUCAGAUGUGAAAGGUACCGGCUCAACCGGUGACAUGCAUUUGAAACUGGAAGGCUUGAGUUAAGGAGAGGAAAGUGGAAUUCCUAGUGUAGCGGUGAAAUGCGUAGAUAUUAGGAGGAAUACCAGUGGCGAAGGCGACUUUCUGGACUUAUACUGACGCUGAUGCACGAAAGCGUGGGGAGCGAACA
rnacentral:rRNA from 1 species